AAACUUUCAACAACGGAUCUCUUGGUUCUGGCAUCGAUGAAGAACGCAGCGAAAUGCGAUAAGUAAUGUGAAUUGCAGAAUUCAGUGAAUCAUCGAAUCUUUGAACGCACAUUGCGCCCCGUGAUAUUCCGCGGGGCAUGCCUGUUCGAGCGUCAUUU
rnacentral:rRNA from 1 species